rnacentral:rRNA from 1 species
UAGGGAAUCUUCGGCAAUGGGGGGAACCCUGACCGAGCAACGCCGCGUGAGUGAAGAAGGUUUUCGGAUCGUAAAGCUCUGUUGUUAAGGAAGAACGAGUGUGAGAAUGGAAAGUUCAUACUGUGAUGGUACUUAACCAGAAAGGGACGGCUAACUACGUGCCAGCAGCCGCGGUAAUACGUAGGUCCCGAGCGUUGUCCGGAUUUAUUGGGCGUAAAGCGAGCGCAGGCGGUUAGAUAAGUCUGAAGUUAAAGGCAGUGGCUCAACCAUUGUAGGCUUUGGAAACUGUUUAACUUGAGUGCAGAAGGGGAGAGUGGAAUUCCAUGUGUAGCGGUGAAAUGCGUAGAUAUAUGGAGGAACACCGGUGGCGAAAGCGGCUCUCUGGUCUGUAACUGACGCUGAGGCUCGAAAGCGUGGGGAGCGAACAGG